rnacentral:rRNA from 1 species
AUUGAACGCUGGCGGCAUGCCUUACACAUGCAAGUCGAACGGCAGCACGGGAGCAAUCCUGGUGGCGAGUGGCGAACGGGUGGGUAAUAUAUCGGAACGUGCCCAGUAGGGGGGGAUAACUGCUCGAAAGAGCAGCUAAUACCGCAUACGACCUGAGGGUGAAAGGGGGGGAUCGCAAGACCUCUCGCUAUUGGAGCGGCCGAUAUCAGAUUAGCCAGUUGGUGGUGUAAAGGCCUACCAAGGCAACGAUCUGUAGUUGGUCUGAGAGGACGACCAGCCACACUUGGACUGAGUCACGGCACAGGCGCCUACGGGAGGCAGCAGUGGGGAAUUUUGGACAAUGGGCGCAAGCCUGAUCCAGCAAUGCCGCGUGCAGGAAGAAGGCCUUCGGGUUGUAAACUGCUUUUGUCAGGGAAGAAAUCCUCUCGGUUAAUACCCUUGGGGGGAUGACGGUACCUGAAGAAUAAGCACCGGCUAACUACGUGCCAGCAGCCGCAGUAAUAC